rnacentral:rRNA from 1 species
GAUGAACGCUGGCGGCGUGCCUAAUACAUGCAAGUCGAGCGAACAGACGAGGAGCUUGCUCCGCUGACGUUAGCGGCGGACGGGUGAGUAACACGUGGAUAACCUACCUAGAAGACUGGGAUAACUUCGGGAAACCGGAGCUAAUACCGGAUAAUAUAUUGAACCGCAUGGUUCAAUAGUGAAAGACGGUUUUGCUGUCACUUAUAGAUGGAUCCGCGCCGCAUUAGCUAGUUGGUAAGGUAACGGCUUACCAAGGCGACGAUGCGUAGCCGACCUGAGAGGGUGAUCGGCCACACUGGAACUGAGACACGGUCCAGACUCCUACGGGAGGCAGCAGUAGGGAAUCUUCCGCAAUGGGCGAAAGCCUGACGGAGCAACGCCGCGUGAGUGAUGAAGGUCUUCGGAUCGUAAAACUCUGUUAUUCGGGAAGAACAAAUGUGUAAGUAACUAUGCACGUCUUGACGGUACCUAAUCAGAAAGCCCCGGCUAACUACGUG